GAGUUGUAAUUUGAAGAAGCGUUUUCCGCGUCUCGGUUGACCCAAAUCCUUUGGGAUAUGGUAUCAUGGAGGGUGAGAAUCCCGUCCGGUUGACUUUGUGACGCUUUACGAUACGUUUUCAAAGAGUCGAGUUGUUUGGGAUUGCAGCUCAAAAUGGGAGGUAAAUUUCUCCUAAGGCUAAAUAUUGGCGAGAGACCGAUAGCGAACAAGUACCGUGAGGGAAAGAUGAAAAGAACUUUGAAAAGAGAGUAAAAUAGUACGUGAAAUUGUUGAAAGGGAAACGAUUGAAGUCAGUCGUACCGACGGAAAAUCAACUCUUCGAGUGCGGACUUUGUGGACGUGCGUGAGUUUUACGACCUCGCUGUUUGUAACGUUCGUGCUUUUUGGGUGUACUUUUUCGUAUGGUAGGCCAACAUCAGUUUUGAUCGCUAUAAAAUGACUGGAGGAAUGUAGCUUCGAUCUCGUAUUGAAGUGUUAUAGCCUUUAGUAGAUGUGGUGAUUUGGACUGAGGAUUGCAACGAAUAUCCUUUGGGCUAUCCGUCUGACCUCUGAAAGUCGCUUAGGUGCCGAAAGCUUGCUU
rnacentral:rRNA from 1 species